rnacentral:rRNA from 1 species
GAUCAUGGCUCAGGAUGAACGCUGGCGGCGUGCCUAACACAUGCAAGUCGAGCGAAGCACUUUGCUUAGAUUCUUCGGAUGAAGAGGAUUGUGACUGAGCGGCGGACGGGUGAGUAACGCGUGGGUAACCUGCCUUAUACAGGGGGAUAACAGUUAGAAAUGACUGCUAAUACCGCAUAAGCGCACAGGAUUGCAUGAUCUGGUGUGAAAAACUCCGGUGGUAUAAG